UCCUUCUUAAUCCAUGGCCCACACCACCGCCGCGCUUGCCGGGAUGAGGGGCCGCGCCGCAGGAGGGUAGCCGCCGCAGGGUUGCGGGCCUAGAACUCGGCCGUCAGGGGGGCGGCGCUCCCACGGCCAGAUGGGCCUACACAAAAGCAGGCCAGGCGCUCCCGGGCCUAUCCGCGGGCUGGCGGGUGGCAAGGCCCGCGGCCUGGACUUCUCCUCAGGCCCCUCCGGGGGAACGCGAGCGGCGGCGACGGCGACGGCGCUUCCCGGGCCCGGUUCCUCUCGGCCCACGACUCCCCAUCCACCGCCUACCCAGGCCGCCUGAGACGCUUUCCCCAGCCGCGGGACCCAGGAAGAGAGGCUGAAGGCGAGCACACAAACACACCUCCCUUCGUCCCGGGCCGUAAAAUGGCCGCAGCCGCCGCGCCGGGGCGGCGAGGUCUCGGCGACCGUCAGGCGCCCCCAGGCCCUUCGCUCGCUCUGCCGCCGCCGCCGCCGCUACGGCCGUCCGCCCACCCCGCCCAGGCGUGAAUGCAUCAGCGGAGGCCUUUGCGACUGUCCAUGUGGACAGGGGUGGGUCUCCUCUGCCACCGCCUCGCGUCCGUCGCCACAGCAGCUCCAGCCGCCGCCGCUGCCGCUCCUCCCCCACGGGCGCUGGAGCUGCCGCCCGGCUCCCGCCCCCACCGCGACGCCGCCGCCCCCAGCGCCGCUCCCCCUCAGGAGCCCGGGCUCGGCUCGCGGGCAGAACGGUCUGCGGCGCCGCACGGAACACCGACUUGAGGCUCCAGACGCCGUGGCUCUCGGUGGAGCGGGCCCUGCGCGGCGCCGGCUCGGCCUGGACGCGUUUCGUCCAAAAAAAAGCCUCGACCGCCGAGGGCCCCAUGGCAGAGCUGUAAGGCAUUCAUUAACGAAAAUCUGGAAUACAGGAAAGGGAAGUGAUGCCUGGCUCCACCACCAAAACUCAAUUCUGUUAGGUGUGUCGUCCUCUAAGCGAACAUUUUUCUUAAAUCCCUCAUGA
ensembl:lncRNA